rnacentral:rRNA from 1 species
AUGAUAGCUUGCUAUCAGGCGUCGAGCGGCGGACGGGUGAGUAAUACUUAGGAAUCUACCUAGUAGUGGGGGAUAGCACGGGGAAACUCGUAUUAAUACCGCAUACGACCUACGGGAGAAAGGGGGCAGUUUACUGCUCUCGCUAUUAGAUGAGCCUAAGUCGGAUUAGCUAGAUGGUGGGGUAAAGGCCUACCAUGGCGACGAUCUGUAGCUGGUCUGAGAGGAUGAUCAGCCACACCGGGACUGAGACACGGCCCGGACUCCUACGGGAGGCAGCAGUGGGGAAUAUUGGACAAUGGGGGAAACCCUGAUCCAGCCAUGCCGCGUGUGUGAAGAAGGCCUUUUGGUUGUAAAGCACUUUAAGCAGUGAAGAAGACUCCGUGGUUAAUACCCACGGACGAUGACAUUAGCUGCAGAAUAAGCACCGGCUAACUCUGUGCCAGCAGCCGCGGUAAUACAGAGGGUGCAAGCGUUAAUCGGAAUUACUGGGCGUAAAGGGAGCGUAGGUGGCUCUAUAAGUCAGAUGUGAAAUCCCCGGGCUUAACCUGGGAACUGCAUCUGAAACUGUAGAGCUAGAGUAUGUGAGAGGGAGGUAGAAUUUCAGGUGUAGCGGUGAAAUGCGUAGAGAUCUGAAGGAAUACCGAUGGCGAAGGCAGCCUCCUGGCAUAAUACUGACACUGAGGCUCGAAAGCGUGGGUAGCAAACAGGAUUAGAUACCCUGGUAGUCCACGCCGUAAACGAUGUCUACUAGUCGUUGGGU